rnacentral:ncRNA from 2 species
AUAUACCGUAGCAGCGUUGGUGUCCGCCCGACGGCAACCCGCCGACGGACGGAACCGUAAGAGGGAAUACCGGUUAAAGUCCGGAACUGCCCCGCAGCGGUGAGCGAAAACGAACCCCGCAACACGGCACUGGACCGCCACGGUCCGGGAAGCGGCGGGUAGUAGAAAUCCGGCCCCUAUGCGGCCGCCAUGUUCGCAAGUCCGAAGACCUGCCAAUGCCCGCCGGCAAUC